UACAUUCGCCAGUUCAACCUUCAACAAACAAUGGAAGCAUGCAGCUCUGCCCUUCCUACCAAAUACGCCUUCUCACAGUCCUUGACGGCAAAACUAAGCGUGCCCGAGGAAAAAUUCGUUGCAACCAACUGCCUUCGUGAAUUCAACAAUGCCUACCAAGAUGGCUCGCUCAAGUCAAAGGAUAUGCUUUACUUCGCAAUUCCCCACAAAAAACAUUGGAUACUAUGUUGCACCAACCUUCUUUACAAACAGAUCAACAUAUUCGAUUC